rnacentral:rRNA from 1 species
UACAGAGGGGGCAAGCGUUGUUCGGAAUUACUGGGCGUAAAGUGUGCGCAGGCGGUCUCGCAGGUCAAGUGUGAAAGCCCCGGGCUUAACCUGGGAACUGCGCUUGAAACUACGAGACUCGAGUGUGGCAGAGGAAGGUGGAAUUCCACGUGUAGCGGUGAAAUGCGUAGAGAUGUGGAGGAACACCGAUGGCGAAGGCAGCCUUCUGGGCCAACACUGACGCUCAUGCACGAAAGCGUGGGGAGCAAACAGG